UACGGAGGAUCCAAGCGUUAUCCGGAAUCAUUGGGUUUAAAGGGUCCGUAGGCGGUUUGGUAAGUCAGUGGUGAAAGCCCAUCGCUCAACGGUGGAACGGCCAUCGAUACUGCCAGACUUGAAUUAUUAGGAAGUAACUAGAAUAUGUAGUGUAGCGGUGAAAUGCUUAGAGAUUACAUGGAAUACCAAUUGCGAAGGCAGGUUACUACUAAUGGAUUGACGCUGAUGGACGAAAGCGUGGGUAGCGAACAGG
rnacentral:rRNA from 1 species